rnacentral:rRNA from 1 species
UACGGAGGAUCCAAGCGUUAUCCGGAAUUACUGGGUGUAAAGAGUUGCGUAGGUGGCAUAGUAAGUAGAUAGUGAAAGCGUGGGGCUCAACCCCAUAUCCAUUAUCUAAACUGCUAAGCUAGAGAAUGAGAGAGGUCACUGGAAUUCCCUGUGUAGGAGUGAAAUCCGUAGAUAUAGGGAGGAACACCGAUGGCGUAGGCAGGUGACUGGCUCAUUUCUGACACUAAGGCACGAAAGCGUGGGUAGCAAA